GAAACUGAAACUUCUGGAGCAACAAGAACAACAAGAAGGAAAGAAGAAGAAGAAGAGAAGAGAAAGAAAAGAGGGAAGAGGAAGAGGUUACUACUGAAAUACUGCACCUAAAAAGGCCGUUGAACAUCCCUGCAGCUAGGAACCUAAAUCACCGAUGAGGAUACAGAGACUGAUUUUGGGACUUUAUGGCACUCGUGAUUAGGAUGAUAAGGAACCGAGCCAGAGGAUGUUAGAGCGGAUUCCCUAUGGGCUAUGAUGGCACGG